ACGAACGCUGGCGGCGUGCCUAAUCCAUGCAAGUAGAACGCACAGUUUAUACCGUAGCUUGCUACACCAUAGACUGUGAGUUGCGAACGGGUGAGUAACGCGUAGGUAACCUGCCUGGUAGCGGGGGAUAACUAUUGGAAACGAUAGCUAAUACCGCAUAAUAUUGAUUAUUGCAUGAUAAUUGAUUGAAAGAUGCUAUUGCAUCACUACCAGAUGGACCUGCGUUGUAUUAGCUAGUAGGUGAGGUAACGGCUCACCUAGGCGACGAUACAUAGCCGACCUGAGAGGGUGAUCGGCCACACUGGGACUGAGACACGGCCCAGACUCCUACGGGAGGCAGCAGUAGGGAAUCUUCGGCAAUAGACGAAAGUCUGACCGAGCAACGCCGCGUGAGUGAAGAAGGUUUUCGGAUCGUAAAGCUCUGUUGUAAGAGAAGAACGGGUGUGAGAGUGGAAAGUUCACACUGUGACGGUAUCUUACCAGAAAGGGACGGCUAACUACGUG
rnacentral:rRNA from 1 species